UCAGAUGGUUUCCAGAGUUAGUUCCUUACAAGCAUUUCCUCUUGAAACAUCGGGAAUCUAAAUAAAGGCACUCCUUGAUGAAAUAAGUAAGAAAGCUUGUCAAGAGCCAUCACUCUUGCUCAUGGGACAAGAGAAGGCACUGACCUGUGCCCACCAGCACCCCAUCACUGAGCCAACACCACCUUCAGGAAGACAGUCUCCAGCAGGGCUUCCCCCAAUUCCCCUAGCUGCUUUGCCUCUGCUACUCCGGUAAGCACCUGCAGGGAGGCAGGCACCCCAGCACCCACUAGCAUUCUGCAACAGCUGUUGCACCUUGGCUCCCCCAGUACAGUGGAUUCCAAACCUCAAGGAGUCAAAGAACAGAUGGGGCCCAAUACAAAUUCCCCAGAAUUACAACAUGCCGUCCAGGAGUUGAGAGCUGAGUGUUGACCUUCUAAAAUCUCCCAGAAACAAAGCCAGGUGGCUGAAUCCACCUUAUAUUAUAGUCAAACCCUCAAGGUCAUCAAAUCAUCAAAUAGGAUAAAAGAAAAAAAAAUCCAAAGGUCAGCAACAUCCAAG
rnacentral:lncRNA from 10 species